rnacentral:rRNA from 1 species
UACGGAGGAUCCAAGCGUUAUCCGGAUUUAUUGGGUUUAAAGGGUGCGUAGGCGGCCCGGUAAGUCAGUGGUGAAAGCCUCCAGCUCAACUGGAGAACUGCCAUUGAUACUGCCGGGCUUGAGUACAGACGAGGUUGGCGGAAUUGAUUGUGUAGCGGUGAAAUGCAUAGAUACAAUCAAGAACUCCGAUUGCGUAGGCAGCUAACUAGGCUGUAACUGACGCUGAGGCACGAAAGCGUGGGGAGCGAACAGG